rnacentral:rRNA from 1 species
UGGGGAAUUUUGGACAAUGGGCGAAGGCCUGAUCCAGCAAUGCCGCGUGUGUGAAGAAGGCCUUCGGGUUGUAAAGCACUUUUGUCCGGAAAGAAAUCCUUGGCUCUAAUACAGUCGGGGGAUGACGGUACCGGAAGAAUAAGCACCGGCUAACUACGUGCCAGCAGCCGCGGUAAUACGUAGGGUGCAAGCGUUAAUCGGAAUUACUGGGCGUAAAGCGUGCGCAGGCGGUUUGCUAAGACCGAUGUGAAAUCCCCGGGCUCAACCUGGGAACUGCAUUGGUGACUGGCAGGCUAGAGUAUGGCAGAGGGGGGUAGAAUUCCACGUGUAGCAGUGAAAUGCGUAGAGAUGUGGAGGAAUACCGAUGGCGAAGGCAGCCCCCUGGGCCAAUACUGACGCUCAUGCACGAAAGCGUGGGGAGCAAACAGGAUUAGAUACCCUGGUAGUCCACGCCCUAAACGAUGUCAACUAGUUGUUGGGGAUUCAUUUCCUUAGUAACGUAGCUAACGCGUGAAGUUGACCGCCUGGGGAGUACGGUCGCAAGAUUAAAACUCAAAGGAAUUGACGGGGUCAUAGCUGUUUCCU